CAUGGCUCAGGAAUGAACGCUAGCUACAGGCUUAACACAUGCAAGUCGAGGGGCAGCAUGUGGUUGCUUGCAACCAAUGAUGGCGACCGGCGCACGGGUGAGUAACGCGUAUCCAACCUUCCCCUUAGUAGAGGAUAGCCCGGCGAAAGUCGGAUUAAUACUCUAUGUUCUUCAAUGCGGACAUCUAAGUUGAAGCAAAGAUUUAUCGCUAAGGGAUGGGGAUGCGUCUGAUUAGGUUGCAGGCGGGGUAACGGCCCACCUGGCCUACGAUCAGUAGGGGUUCUGAGAGGAAGGUCCCCCACACUGGUACUGAGACACGGACCAGACUCCUACGGGAGGCAGCAGUGAGGAAUAUUGGUCAAUGGGCGCGAGCCUGAACCAGCCAAGUAGCGUGCCAGGACGACUGCCCUAUGGGUUGUAAACUGCUUUUAUCAGGGAAUAAAGUGAGGCACGCGUGCCUUUUUGUAUGUACCUGAUGAAUAAGGACCGGCUAAUUCCGUGCCAGCCGCCGC
rnacentral:rRNA from 1 species